AAUGGGCGCAAGCCUGAUGCAGCCAUGCCGCGUGUAUGAAGAAGGCCUUCGGGUUGUAAAGUACUUUCAGCGGGGAGGAAGGGAGUAAAGUUAAUACCUUUGCUCAUUGACGUUACCCGCAGAAGAAGCACCGGCUAACUCCGUGCCAGCAGCCGCGGUAAUACGGAGGGUGCAAGCGUUAAUCGGAAUUACUGGGCGUAAAGCGCACGCAGGCGGUUUGUUAAGUCAGAUGUGAAAUCCCCGGGCUCAACCUGGGAACUGCAUCUGAUACUGGCUAGCUUGAGUCUCGUAGAGGGGGGUAGAAUUCCAGGUGUAGCGGUGAAAUGCGUAGAGAUCUGGAGGAAUACCGGUGGCGAAGGCGGCUUUCUGGACGAUAACUGACGCUGAGGCGCGAAAGCGUGGGGAGCAAA
rnacentral:rRNA from 1 species